AACGCGAAGAACCUUACCAGGGAUUGACAUGACGGUAGUAGUGAAGCGAAAGCGGAACGACCCUUCGGGGAGCCGUCACAGGUGAUGCAUGGCUGUCGUCAGCUCGUGCCGUGAGGUGUUUGGUUAAGUCCACUAACGAGCGCAACCCCUAGUGCCAGUUACAAGUGUCUGGCGCGACUGCCGGUAUUAAGCCGGAGGAAGGUGGGGAUGACGUCAAGUCAGCAUGUCCCUUAUACCCUGGGCGACACACACGCUACAAUGGCCAGCACAAUGGGUCGCCAAGCCGUGAGGCGGAGCCAAUCCUAAAAAGCUGGUCUCAGUUCGGAUUGCAGGCUGCAACCCGCCUGCAUGAAGUCGGAGUUGCUAGUAACCGCAGGACAGCUAUACUGCGGUGAAUACGUUCCCGGGUCUAGUACACACCG
rnacentral:rRNA from 1 species